CCCUUAGAUGUUCUGGGCCGCACGCGCGCUACACUGAUGCAUUCAACGAGUCUAAAACCUGGUCUGAUAGGGCUGGGUAAUCUUUUGAAAGUGCAUCGUGAUUGGGAUAGAUGAUUGCAAUUCUUCAUCUUCAACGAGGAAUGCCUAGUAAACGCAAGUCAUCAGCUUGCAUUGAUUACGUCCCUGCCCUUUGUACACACCGCCCGUCGCUCCUACCGAUUGAAUGAUCCGAUGAAUACCAUGGAUUGAGAGUACGAAUGGGUUCGCUCAUUUCUGCUGCUCGAGAAGUGGAGUAAAUCUUACCAUUUAGAGGAAGGAGAAGUCGUAACA
rnacentral:rRNA from 1 species